AGAGUUUGAUCCUGGCUCAGAACGAACGCUGGCGGCGUGCUUAACACAUGCAAGUCGAACGCGAAAGUUUUCUUCGGAAGACGAGUAGAGUGGCGCACGGGUGAGUAACGCGUAAGUUAUCUACCUCGGCAUCUGGAAUAACUCACCGAAAGGUGUGCUAAUACCGGAUAAGCCCACGGACUCUUAGGGGNNGUGGGAAAAGGAGGCCUCUAUUUAUAAGCUACCGUAUCAGGAUGAGUCCGCGUACCAUUAGCUAGUUGGUAGGGUAAUGGCCUACCAAGGCGACGAUGGUUAGCUGGUCUGAGAGGAUGAUCAGCCACACUGGAACUGAGACACGGUCCAGACUCCUACGGGAGGCAGCAGUGGGGAAUUUUGCGCAAUGGGCGAAAGCCUGACGCAGCAACGCCGCGUGAGUGAUGAAGGCCUUCGGGUCGUAAAGCUCUGUCAGUGGGGAAGAACCGCCGGGUGGUUAAUACCUGCCUGGUCUGACGGUACCCACAAAGGAAGCACCGGCUAACUCCGUGCCAGCAGCCGCGGUAAUACGGAGGGUGCAAGCGUUGUCCGGAGUUACUGGGCGUAAAGAGCGUGUAGGCGGUUGGAAAAGUCAGGUGUGAAAUUCUUCGGCUCAACCGGGGGACUGCGCCUGAAACUUUCCGACUGGAGUUUGGGAGGGGCAACUGGAAUUCCUGGUGUAACGGUGAAAUGUGUAGAUAUCAGGAGGAACACCCGUGGCGAAGGCGGGUUGCUGGACCAAAACUGACGCUGAGACGCGAAAGCGUGGGUAGCAAACAGGAUUAGAUACCCUGGUAGUCCACGCCGUAAACGAUGAGUACUAGGUGUUGCGGGUAUUGACCCCUGCAGUGCCGCAGCUAACGCGUUAAGCGUCCCGCCUGGGAAGUACGGCCGCAAGGCUAAAACUCAAAUGAAUUGGCGGGGACCCGCACAAGCAGAGGAGCGCGUGGUUUAAUUCGAUGGCAAUCGAAGAACCUUACCAGGGUUUGAAAUAUACCUGCAUCCCCUUGGAAACAAGGGAGUCCUUCGAGGGGGUGGUAUACAGGUGCUGCAUGGCCGUCGUCAGCUCGUGUCGUGAGAUGUUGGGUUAAGUCCCGCAACGAGCGCAACCCUUGUCUUUAGUUGCCAGCAUUAAGUUGGGCACUCUAAAGAGACUGCCGGUGUCAAACCGGAGGAAGGUGGGGAUGACGUCAAGUCCUCAUGGCCUUUAUGACCAGGGCUACACACGUACUACAAUGGCAUAAACAAAGGGCAGCAACAUCGCGAGGUGAAGCGAAUCCCAGAAAGCCGUUCCCAGUCCGGAUUGGAGUCUGCAACUCGACUCCAUGAAGUUGGAAUCGCUAGUAAUCGCGGAUCAGCACGCCGCGGUGAAUACGUUCCCGGGCCUUGUACACACCGCCCGUCACACAACGGGAGUUGGUUGUACCAGAAGCAGUUGAGCCAACCGUUCACGGAGGCA
rnacentral:rRNA from 1 species